rnacentral:rRNA from 1 species
UACGAAGGGGGCUAGCGUUGCUCGGAAUCACUGGGCGUAAAGGGCGCGUAGGCGGCGUUUUAAGUCGGGGGUGAAAUCCCGGAGCUCAACUCCGGAACUGCCUUCGAUACUGACGAUCUUGAGUCCGGGAGAGGUGAGUGGAACUGCGAGUGUAGAGGUGAAAUUCGUAGAUAUUCGCAAGAACACCAGUGGCGAAGGCGGCUCACUGGCCCGGUACUGACGCUGAGGUGCGAAAGCGUGGGGAGCAAACAGG